rnacentral:lncRNA from 1 species
ACGGCAGCUGGUACAAAGCCUGUAAAGUUGACAGUCCCACAGUCAACACCACUCUGCGAAGCUUGGGCGCCCUGUACCGGCGCCAGGGCAAGCUGGAAGCUGCACACACACUGGAAGACUGUGCCAGCCGCAGCCGCAAACAGGUAGGGCUUUUGUGGUGGAGGAGGGUAAAUAGAGACUCUGAGGGAGGCUCCAAGUGUGCUUCAGUUGGGCCUGAUGCUUCCUGCCCCCUUUCAGGGCCUGGAUCCUGCCAGCCAGACCAAGGUGGUAGAACUGCUAAAAGAUGGUAGUGGUGGACGAGGAGACCGCCGUGGCAGCAGAGAUGUGGCCGGGGGUGCUGGGCCUCGGUCUGAGUCUGACCUGGAGGAAUCAGGGCCUGCAGCUGAAUGGAGUGGGGAUGGCAGUGGCUCUUUGAGGCGCAGUGGCUCCUUUGGGAAGCUCCGGGAUGCCCUCAGACGCAGCAGUGAGAUGCUGGUGAGGAAGCUGCAGGGAGGUGGCCCACAGGAGCCCCCUAAUUCUAGGAUGAAGAGGGCCAGCUCUCUUAACUUCCUUAACAAGAGUGUGGAAGAACCAGUCCAGCCUGGAGGCACGGGUCUUUCUGACAGCCGCACUUUGAGCUCCAGCUCCAUGGACCUCUCCCGAAGAAGCUCCCUCGUGGGCUAAAGCUGAAGGGGCAGCCAGUCACCAGAACCUCCAUCUGACAUGAUCCCUCCCCCUAGCCCUGCGCAUGGGCCUGCUGCUUGUCCUGCCUGCCCCUCCCAAGGACCCCUGUCUUUUCUGUUCAAUCUCAGGGUAACUUCCUCCCUUGUCAUCUCAGCCAAGGCCCUGGAGGAUGGGCCUGCCGGCUCCAGCUCUGCUCCUUAU